GUCUACGGCCCUACCACCCUGGACGUGCCCAGUCUCUUCUGAUCUUGGAAGGUAAGCAGGGUGGUGCCUGGUUAGGACUUGGAUGGGAGAGUGCCAGUCAGACU
rnacentral:rRNA from 1 species